AGCCUUGUAGUAUUAAUAUACAUGGGAUUGCAAAUCCCAAGAAGGAGAAUAGGCUCUCCCGGGGCUU
rnacentral:tRNA from 1 species